GCUUAGAGUUUGAUCCUGGCUCAGGAUGAACGCUGGCGGUAUGCCUAACACAUGCAAGUCGAACGAAGUCUUCGGACUUAGUGGCGGACGGGUGAGUAACGCGUGAGAACCUGCCUCCAGGCUGGGGACAACAGUUGGAAACGACUGCUAAUACCCAAUGUGCCGAAAGGUGAAAGAUUUAUCACCUGGAGAGGGGCUCGCGUCCGAUUAGCUAGUUGGUGGGGUAAGAGCCUACCAAGGCGUCGAUCGGUAGCUGGUCUGAGAGGAUGAGCAGCCACACUGGGACUGAGACACGGCCCAGACUCCUACGGGAGGCAGCAGUGGGGAAUUUUCCGCAAUGGGCGAAAGCCUGACGGAGCAAUACCGCGUGAGGGAGGAAGGCUUUUGGGUUGUAAACCUCUUUUCUUAAGGAAGAAGAUCUGACGGUACUUAAGGAAUCAGCAUCGGCUAACUCCGUGCCAGCAGCCGCGGUAAUACGGAGGAUGCAAGCGUUAUCCGGAAUUAUUGGGCGUAAAGCGUCCGCAGGUGGCCUUUCAAGUCUGCUGUCAAAGACCAGAGCUCAACUCUGGGCCGGCGGUGGAAACUGGGAGGCUAGAGUACGGUAGGGGUAGAGGGAAUUCCCAGUGUAGCGGUGAAAUGCGUAGAGAUUGGGAAGAACACCAGUGGCGAAGGCGCUCUACUGGACCGAAACUGACACUCAGGGACGAAAGCUAGGGGAGCGAAAGGGAUUAGAUACCCCUGUAGUCCUAGCUGUAAACGAUGGAUACUAGGCGUUGCUUGUAUCGACUCGAGCAGUGCCGAAGCCAACGCGUUAAGUAUCCCGCCUGGGGAGUACGCACGCAAGUG
rnacentral:rRNA from 1 species